rnacentral:rRNA from 1 species
AUGGAAUAUCAGCUGAUCGUCUCUGCGCUGGACGUCCGCAUCAAGCCAAUCACCGUCGACAUCCUCUUCUCCAUGGUGGCGAACUUCGACCAGCGGGUCGACAUGUUCCAUGGCAAUGGUGGUGGCACCUUCAAGUCGUCGGCAAACAUUGCUUCUCGCGGCCGAGGCAAUAAGGGC